rnacentral:rRNA from 1 species
AUUGAACGCUGGCGGCAGGCUUAACACAUGCAAGUCGAGCGGGGGAAGGUAGCUUGCUACCGGACCUAGCGGCGGACGGGUGAGUAAUGCUUAGGAAUCUGCCUAUUAGUGGGGGACAACAUCUCGAAAGGGAUGCUAAUACCGCAUACGUCCUACGGGAGAAAGCAGGGGAUCUUCGGACCUUGCGCUAAUAGAUGAGCCUAAGUCGGAUUAGUUAGUUGGUGGGGUAAAGGCCUACCAAGGCGACGAUCUGUAGCGGGUCUGAGAGGAUGAUCCGCCACACUGGGACUGAGACACGGCCCAGACUCCUACGGGAGGCAGCAGUGGUGAAUAUUGGACAAUGGGGGGAACCCUGAUCCAGCCAUGCCGCGUGUGUGAAGAAGGCCUUAUGGUUGUAAAGCACUUUAAGCGAGGAGGAGGCUACUCUAGUUAAUACCUAGGGAUAGUGGACGUUACUCGCAGAAUAAGCACCGGCUAACUCUGUGCCAGCAGCCGCAGUAA